rnacentral:rRNA from 1 species
GAUGGCCCCCCUGCGGAAGGUGCGGUUGGUCAAGAGCGGGCCGUCGAUGGUUGUCGAACACGACACGCGGGUGGAUGCCUUGUGUGAGCCGUCGUCAUGCCUUUCGGGACCGGACGGCGAGGCCUCGAGGACCCCAUUCGGUGGUGCGAGUCGAUGCCACGGACCGCGACCCCGUGUCGGUGGGGGCUACCCGCUGAGUUUAAGCAUAUAAAUAAGCGGAGGAGAAGAAAAACUUACAAGGAUUCCCUUUAGUAACGGGCGAGCAACCGGGAUCAGCCCAGAUUGAGAAUCGGGCGACUACGUCGUCUGAAUUGUAAUCCGGAGAAGCGCCCUCAAUGACGGACCGGGCCCAAGUCCCCGGAAAGGGCGCCGGGAGGGUGAGAGCCCCGUCCGGCUUUCGGACCCUGUCCGCACCAUGAGGCGCUGUCGACGAAGUCGGGUUGUUUGGGAAUGCAGCCCCAAUCGGGCGGUAAAUUCCGGCCCAAGGCUAAAUAUGGGCGAGACCGAUAGCGAACAAGUACCGCGAGGGAAAGAUGAAAAGGACUUUGAAAAGAGAGUCAAAGAGUGCUUUGAAAUUGCCGGGAGGGAAGCGGAUGGGGGCGGCGAUGCACCUCGGUCGGAUGCGAACGGCGGUUAGCCGAUCUGCCGCCGCUUCGGCUUCGAGUGCGGAUCAAUGCGGGCUGCAUCAACGGCCGGGCCCCACGGAUCGUUCGUUCGAGGGGAUACCGCCGAUGCGGUCGAGAGACAUGACGCCAGCGCCAUCGGCGUGCCCGGGGUACACGCGUCGCGACCUAGGCAUCGGCUAGUGGGCUCCCCAUCCGACCCAUCUUGAAACACGGACCAAGAGUCCGACAUGCGUGCGAAGUCGACGGGUGCGGAAACCCGUAAGGCACAAGGAAAGCUAACGGGGGGAACCCUCUCGAGGGGUUGCACCGCCGACCCCCCGAUCUUCUAUGAAGGGUUCGAGUUGGAGCAUGCAUGUCGGGACCGAAAGAUGGUGAACUAUGCCCGAAGCGAGGCGAAGACAGAGGAAACUUCGGUGGAGGCCCGGCGAUCUUGGACGAUGCAAAUCGUUCGUCGACUUGGGUAUAGGGCGAAAGACUAAUCGAACCAUCUAGUAGCUGGUUCCCUCCGUUUCCCUCGAUAGCCGGAGCCCACGUGCGAAGUUCUAUCGGGUAAAGCCAAUGAUUAGAGGCAUUGGGGCGCAGCGCCCCCGACCUAUUCUCAAACUUUAAAUAGGUAGGACGGGCGCGGUUGCCGCUUGAGUCGCGCCACGGAAUCGAGAGCUCCAAGUGGGCCAUUUUGGUAAGCGAAUCGGCGAUCGCGGGAUGAACCGUAAGCCGGGUUACGGUUGCCCAAAUCACAAGGCUAACCCGCACACCACAAAGGGUGUUGGUCGACUAAACAAGCAGGACGGUGGUCAUGGAAGUCGAAAUCCGCUAAGGAGUGUGUAACAACUCACCCGCCGAAUCAACUAGCCCCGAAAAUGGAUGGCGCUGAAGCGCGUGACCCACACCCGCCAUCGGGCGGCGCCAAGCCCCGAUGAGUAGGAGGGCGUGGCGGCCGCGAAAACCCAAACCUGCGAGCCCGGCGAGCGCCGUCGGUGCAGAUCUUGGUGGUAUCAAAGAAUAUUCAAAUGAGAACUUUUGAAGGUCGAAGAGGGGAAAGGUUCCAUGUGAACGGCACUUGCACAUGGGUUAGCCGAUCCUAAGGGACGGGGAAGCCCGUCCGAGAGCGCGGUCCGCGAAGCCAAAGGGAAUCGGUUAAAAUUCCCGCCGGGAUGCAGCGGCGGACGGCAACGUUAGGAAGUCCGGAGACGCCGCGAGGGCUCCGGAAGAAUUAUCUUUUUCUGCUUAACGCGCCCGCCCACCUAAAACGGCUCACCGGAGGUAGGGUCCAGCGGUCGGAAGAGCGCCGCCGUCAUGGCGGCGUCCGCAGCGCCCGCCCCUUGAAAAUCCGGAGGACGAAAGUGCCGCCUCGCGCCGGCCAGACUCAUAACCGCAUCAGUCUCCAAGGUGAACGACCUCUGGCCCAUGGAACAAUGUAGGCAAGGGAAGUCGGCAAAAGGGGGUCCCGCCCCAACCCAUCGGGCCGUCGGCGGAUCGCUUCGAAGCCGCUCUGUGGCGAGAGCGGUCGCCAGCGUCUUGGCCGGGGACGGACCGAAUGGCCCCCGGAGCCUUCCCCGGCGUCAACAACCGACUUCUAACUGGUAAUACGGACAAGGGGAAUCCAACUGUUUAAUUAAAACAAAGCAUUGCGAUGGUCCCCGCGGAUGCUCACGCAAUGUGAUUCGCGCCUGCUCAAUGUCAAAGUGAAGAAAUUCAACCAAGCGGUAAACGACGGAGUAACUAUGACUCUCUUAAGGUAGCCAAAUGCCUCAUCAUCUAAUUAGUGACGCGCAUGAAUGGAUUAACGAGAUUCCCACCGUCCCCAUCUACUAUCCAUCCAAUAAACCACGCCCAAGGGAACGGGCUUGGCGAAUCAGCGGGAAAGAAGACCCCGAGCUUGGCUCUAGUCCCACUUUGUGAAAUGACGGAGAGGUGUAGGAUAAGUGGGAGCCGGUUCGGGCACGGGCGGAAGUGAAAUACCACUACUUUUAACGUUAUUUUACUUAUUCCGCGAGUCGGAGGUGGGGCUCCGCCCCUCUUUUGACCCCAAGGCCCGCCUAGCGGGCCGAUCCAAGCGGAAGACAUUGUCGUGGGGAGUUUGGCUGGGCGGCACAUAUGUUAAAAGAUAACGCAGGUGUCCUAAGAUGAGCUCAACGAGAAACAGAAAUCUCGUGGAACAAAAGGGUAAAAGCUCGUUUGAUUCGAUUUCCAAAUGAUCAAUCUGAACCGCGAAAGCGUGGCCUAUCGAUCCUUUAGACCUUCGGAAUUUGAAGCUAGAGGUGUCGUAGAAAAGUUACCACAGGGAUAACCGGCUUGUGGCAGCCAAGCGCUCAUAGCGACGUUGCUUUUUUUAUCCUUCGAUGUCGGCUCUUCCUAUCAUUGUGAAGCGAAUUCACCAAGUGUUGGAUUGUUCACCCACCAAUAGGGAACGUGAGCUGGGUUUAGACCGUCGUGAGACAAAGUUAGUUUUACCCUCAUCGAUGAUCGUGUCGCGAUAGUAAUUCAACCUAGUAAUGCGAGAGGAACCGCUGAUUCACACAAUUGGUCAUCGCUUGUUUGAAAAAACCGCUGGCGCUGGUUACUACCAUGUGUCGGAUUAUGACCGAACGCCUCUAAGUCGAAUCCUAGCUAGCAACCGGCGCUCUCGCCUGGCCGUUCGUGCUAGUCAUAGGUGCCC